AGAGUUUGAUCCUGGCUCAGGACGAACGCUGGCGGCGUGCUUAACACAUGCAAGUCGAACGAAGAGCGAUGGAAGCUUGCUUCUAUCAAUCUUAGUGGCGAACGGGUGAGUAACGCGUAAUCAACCUGCCCUUCAGAGGGGGACAACAGUUGGAAACGACUGCUAAUACCGCAUACGAUCUAACCUCGGCAUCGAGGAAAGAUGAAAGGUGGCCUCUAUGUAUAAGCUAUCACUGAAGGAGGGGAUUGCGUCUGAUUAGCUAGUUGGAGGGGUAACGGCCCACCAAGGCGAUGAUCAGUAGCCGGUCUGAGAGGAUGAACGGCCACAUUGGGACUGAGACACGGCCCAGACUCCUACGGGAGGCAGCAGUGGGGAAUCUUCCGCAAUGGACGAAAGUCUGACGGAGCAACGCCGCGUGAGUGAUGACGGCCUUCGGGUUGUAAAGCUCUGUUAAUCGGGACGAAAGGCCUUCUUGCGAAUAGUGAGAAGGAUUGACGGUACCGGAAUAGAAAGCCACGGCUAACUACGUGCCAGCAGCCGCGGUAAUACGUAGGUGGCAAGCGUUGUCCGGAAUUAUUGGGCGUAAAGCGCGCGCAGGCGGAUUGGUCAGUCUGUCUUAAAAGUUCGGGGCUUAACCCCGUGAUGGGAUGGAAACUGCCAAUCUAGAGUAUCGGAGAGGAAAGUGGAAUUCCUAGUGUAGCGGUGAAAUGCGUAGAUAUUAGGAAGAACACCAGUGGCGAAGGCGACUUUCUGGACGAAAACUGACGCUGAGGCGCGAAAGCCAGGGGAGCGAACGGGAUUAGAUACCCCGGUAGUCCUGGCCGUAAACGAUGGGUACUAGGUGUAGGAGGUAUCGACCCCUUCUGUGCCGGAGUUAACGCAAUAAGUACCCCGCCUGGGGAGUACGACCGCAAGGUUGAAACUCAAAGGAAUUGACGGGGGCCCGCACAAGCGGUGGAGUAUGUGGUUUAAUUCGACGCAACGCGAAGAACCUUACCAGGUCUUGACAUUGAUGGACAGAACCAGAGAUGGUUCCUCUUCUUCGGAAGCCAGAAAACAGGUGGUGCACGGUUGUCGUCAGCUCGUGUCGUGAGAUGUUGGGUUAAGUCCCGCAACGAGCGCAA
rnacentral:rRNA from 1 species